rnacentral:rRNA from 1 species
GAUGAACGCUGGCGGCGUGCUUAACACAUGCAAGUCGAACGGUGAAGCCCAGCUUGCUGGGUGGAUCAGUGGCGAACGGGUGAGUAACAUGUGAGCAAUCUGCCCCUGACUCUGGGAUAAGCGCUGGAAACGGCGUCUAAUACUGGAUAUGAACCGUGGAGGCAUCUUCAACGGUUGGAAAGAUUUUUUGGUCAGGGAUGAGCUCGCGGCCUAUCAGCUUGUUGGUGAGGUAAUGGCUCACCAAGGCGUCGACGGGUAGCCGGCCUGAGAGGGUGACCGGCCACACUGGGACUGAGACACGGCCCAGACUCCUACGGGAGGCAGCAGUGGGGAAUAUUGCACAAUGGGCGCAAGCCUGAUGCAGCAACGCCGCGUGAGGGAUGACGGCCUUCGGGUUGUAAACCUCUUUUAGCAGGGAAGAAGCGAAAGUGACGGUACCUGCAGAAAAAGCGCCGGCUAACUACGUGCCAGCAGCCGCGGUAAUACGUAGGGCGCAAGCGUUAUCCGGAAUUAUUGGGCGUAAAGAGCUCGUAGGCGGUUUGUCGCGUCUGCUGUGAAAUCCCGAGGCUCAACCUCGGGUCUGCAGUGGGUACGGGCAGACUAGAGUGCGGUAGGGGAGAUUGGAAUUCCUGGUGUAGCGGUGGAAUGCGCAGAUAUCAGGAGGAACACCGAUGGCGAAGGCAGAUCUCUGGGCCGUAACUGACGCUGAGGAGCGAAAGGGUGGGGAGCAAACAGGCUUAGAUACCCUGGUAGUCCACCCCGUAAACGUUGGGAACUAGUUGUGGGGUCCAUUCCACGGAUUCCGUGACGCAGCUAACGCAUUAAGUUCCCCGCCUGGGGAGUACGGCCGCAAGGCUAAAACUCAAAGGAAUUGACGGGGACCCGCACAAGCGGCGGAGCAUGCGGAUUAAUUCGAUGCAACGCGAAGAACCUUACCAAGGCUUGACAUAUACGAGAACGCUGCAGAAAUGUAGAACUCUUUGGACACUCGUAAACAGGUGGUGCAUGGUUGUCGUCAGCUCGUGUCGUGAGAUGUUGGGUUAAGUCCCGCAACGAGCGCAACCCUCGUUCUAUGUUGCCAGCACGUAAUGGUGGGAACUCAUGGGAUACUGCCGGGGUCAACUCGGAGGAAGGUGGGGAUGACGUCAAAUCAUCAUGCCCCUUAUGUCUUGGGCUUCACGCAUGCUACAAUGGCCGGUACAAAGGGCUGCAAUACCGUAAGGUGGAGCGAAUCCCAAAAAGCCGGUCCCAGUUCGGAUUGAGGUCUGCAACUCGACCUCAUGAAGUCGGAGUCGCUAGUAAUCGCAGAUCAGCAACGCUGCGGUGAAUACGUUCCCGGGUCUUGUACACACCGCCCGUCAAGUCAUGAAAGUCGGUAACACCUGAAGCCGGUGGCCCAACCCUUGUGGAGGGAGCCGUCGAAGGUGGGAUCGGUAAUUAGGACUAA